rnacentral:rRNA from 1 species
CACGACACUCAGUCCGCCAGAAAAUUACGAGCAUUAACCUUCUAAGCCUAAAACUCAAAAGACUUGACGGUGUCCCAACCUACCUAGAGGAGCCUGUUCCAUAAUCGAUAAUCCACGAUCAACCCUACCACCCCUCGAACCAUAACCCCAGCCUAUAUACCGCCGUCACCAGCCUACCUUUCAAAAGCUAUAAAGUAAGCACAAUAGUGCACCACUAACACGUCAGGUCAAGGUGUAGCCUAUGGGGUGUGUGCUAAUGGGCUACAUUAUCUGCCACAGAUCAUACACGAACUAUUUUUUGACAUAACUAUAUCAAGGUGGAUUUAGUAGUAAAUUAAGCAAGAACACUUAAUUUAACCCUGCUCUGGGACA